rnacentral:rRNA from 1 species
GGGUGAGUAACGCGUGGAUAAUCUACCUUUAGGAUUGGGAUAACAGUUGGAAACGGCUGCUAAUACCGAAUACGCUGCAUAUUUAUUUAUGUGGGAAAGAUGGCCUCUUCAUGAAAGCUAUCACCUAGAGAUGAGUCCGCGUUCCAUUAGCUUGUUGGUGGGGUAAUGGCCUACCAAGGCGACGAUGGAUAGCUGGUCUGAGAGGAUGAUCAGCCACACUGGAACUGAAACACGGUCCAGACUCCUACGGGAGGCAGCAGUGGGGAAUAUUGCGCAAUGGGGGAAACCCUGACGCAGCGACGCCGUGUGCGGGACGAAGGCUUUCGGGUCGUAAACCGCUGUCAGGAGGGAAGAACCGCAUCAGUUCGAAUAGGGCUGGUGCCUGACGGUACCUCCAGAGGAAGCACCGGCUAACUCCGUGCCAGCAGCCGCGGUAAUACGGAGGGUGCAAGCGUUAAUCGGAAUCACUGGGCGUAAAGCGUGCGUAGGCGGCUUGCCAAGUCAGGUGUGAAAGCCCUCGGCUCAACCGGGGAAUUGCACUUGAAACUGGUAGGCUAGAGUCUCGGAGAGGGUGGCGGAAUUCCCGGUGUAGGAGUGAAAUCCGUAGAUAUCGGGAGGAACACCAGUGGCGAAGGCGGCCACCUGGACGAUGACUGACGCUGAGGUACGAAAGCGUGGGGAGCAAACAGGAUUAGAUA